AAGACAUCCCCGCUUGUACCCUGUCCCAGAACAACACAACAGUGGCGGGGCAAGACUGUCAGGCAAAUGGAUAAUUGGGAUAUUACAGAUCUUUUUCUCUGACUGUACGCACCUUGACUUUCAUACGCUGUUUGAAUGCGGAAGAACCGGGUAACAUGUCUUUAAAAACCAAAACACAGCAAGGCAAGGUGGCUCAAGUCUAUAAUCCCAGCAUUCAGGAGGGCAAGGCAGAAGUGCUGCAAGUUCAAGGCCAGCAUCAGCUAACUGUGAAUGCCUGUCUCAAAACCACACAAGGGAUUUUUCCACACAAGCGCAUACACAUCACAUGCACACAUGUAUGCACACGUGCACACACACCACACCACACCACACACAUAUACACCACACAGACGCACACGUGCACACACAGGCCAGUGUAGACAGCAGUGUAGGACAGUAGAGGACAAUGGGGUGGAAUUGCCUUAUUAGAGCCCUAGUUUCUAGUUCUCAGUCAUUGCCUCUCAUGUUUGCAGGAAGUUGUUGUAAAACCAACUUAGCAACAUGGAAAAAUGCCAGUUUUAGGAGUUCAUAGAAUAGUUACUACAGGGUUUGCAUCAUGUCUACUGUGUUUGUGUGGCAAGAAUAAGGAACGAUCAUCUGCUAUCUGGGCUACUUAAGAUACUGAGGCAGGAAGGUGAUCACUUGAGCGCUGGUGGUGAUGUCACCCUGGGCAACACAGUGACACCCCACAUUAAUUAAAAAAAAAUAGGUUUUACCAAAAUUAGCCUGAGUCUGUUAGGUAGAUCUAGAUUUCACCUAGCUUAAAAUGAAAGCCGCAUCCCCAGAAAUGUGACCAGCUGACACCAAUUUCCAAGAAGGUCCUUCCGCAUUCAACAGCUUAGAAGCCAUCAUCAUCACAAAGUAGCUUUCUUCCUCUCUCUUUUAAGCUUUGGAUUUUUGUUGUUGUGUUGUGUCGUGUCUGCCUUUAUCAGCCGCUUUCAGCUCAACCUGUUUCAGUUGUGGCAUGAGGUGAAAGAUAAAAGAGACCACUGUGCCGUGGGUGGCAGGAAUAGACAGGGGAUGCCACCAGCAACCGCCUGCCUCUCUUUGCUUUCCCUGGGCCUGAGUGGUUUUGCCUUAUGAGUCAGCUCCAGCUGCUUUCUGGUGUUCAUUUAGAACAUACCGGUUGUGGAAGCAAAGAGUUCUGUCCAUACCGUGUAAGACUCAAAGUCAAGCCUCUGGCAAGACUGCACUUUAAGGGACUUGGCCUCAGUGUGACAAAACUUGAAACUCCAAAUGCCGUCUUAGCCUGGAGUUUUACAAGCCUUCUCGCGUCACGGGCUGUGCUGCUCCUUUAGGGACCUGCUUGGCACUGCAAAGCUCCACCUUGGUUUAGAUUGCUUCGUCUUAACUUAUGCAUGUUUCUUUGAUCUAGAAGAGACUUCCUUUGAACCAGAUAUGGGAGUGUGUUUCUGUAAUCCCAC
rnacentral:lncRNA from 1 species